rnacentral:rRNA from 1 species
GACGAACGCUGGCGGCGUGCUUAACACAUGCAAGUCGAACGGAAAGGCCCUGCUUUUGUGGGGUGCUCGAGUGGCGAACGGGUGAGUAACACGUGAGUAACCUGCCCUUGACUUUGGGAUAACUUCAGGAAACUGGGGCUAAUACCGGAUAGGAGCUCCUGCUGCAUGGUGGGGGUUGGAAAGUUUCGGCGGUUGGGGAUGGACUCGCGGCUUAUCAGCUUGUUGGUGGGGUAGUGGCUUACCAAGGCUUUGACGGGUAGCCGGCCUGAGAGGGUGACCGGCCACAUUGGGACUGAGAUCGGCCCAGACUCCUACGGGAGGCAGCAGUGGGGAAUAUUGCACAAUGGGCGGAAGCCUGAUGCAGCAACGCCGCGUGCGGGAUGACGGCCUUCGGGUUGUAAACCGCUUUCGCCUGUGACGAAGCGUGAGUGACGGUAAUGGGUAAAGAAGCACCGGCUAACUACGUG